AAUAGCAUAUCCGUUUUCAAUGUUUUCUUUUUCCAGUAUGUAUUUGAGAUUCAUCUCUUUAUUACAAGAAGUACGAAAAGCAGACUGAAUUUACCAACAACUGUUUUGCGACAAAGAAAAACAGAAUGAUGACGGAUGAACCUAAUCCAUUUGAAAUAGGUACAUUUUGGAUUCCCCUUCUGUCUGUCUUUUGCAUAAUCAAUCACAGGCACUUGUUUCUAUCCAUUGCUACUAUCAACGUAAAUUGUUUCUAUCCAUUGGAAGCCCUACUAUCAACGUAAAUUGUUUCUAUCCAUUGGAAGCCACGUUGAUAGUAGGGCUUCCAAUGGAUAGAAACAGGUGCUCGUAAAUAUACGUUUAUAGUAGGGUUUCCAACAUGUCCAAUGGAUAGAAACAAGAGCCUGUGUUGCAUAUAUUAUAUACAUAAUAACAAGGAACAUAAGCUGUUUUAAAAGAGCUCUUUAACUGAUUGAUAUUAAGGUUCUUCAUAACAAAUCGACAAAUAUGGCCGUAUUUUCACAUCUAAAACGACUCAGUGUACAGCAUUACCUGUGAAGUUUGGAAAGUUUUAAGGCCUGGCAUCCACUAGACUGAGCCACUAGAUAUAUAAAAGUUAAAUGCAUUUUGUGCUUCAAAAAGAUAAAAUCAUUUUUGGAUUUUGAUUGGCAUUUUUUUUCCUUCCUGCAGAAGAUGUAAAAAUAAACAAACACCUCAAUUACUUUGAUACUGUCCACUCAGAUAAACUCUUUAACUCACCUAUAAAUGUGUAGAUAUCUAUUGUCCAUGAAUCAAGACAAUCAAUACAAGACAAACCAGUUCUUACCUGAGAGGGAGCAUCUUAAAGUAUACCCGUAAGGGCAUGUCAAUUACAUUUACAAACAAGAAAAUGAAAUACAAACAUGCAUACAUGUACAUCAUUUAAGACAAAGACAAUUUUUAACAUUAUAUUAUUAUUUAUAAAAAAAAAAAAUUGGUGCAGGAGAGAUAACUCCAAUGUAUAUUUAUUAAUAUAAUAUUAAGACACCAAGAACAAAAAAACAAAAAACAAAAAAACAACCUAUUUAAUAACAUCAGAUACAUAUAUAAAACACAAACAUACAGACAGACAAUACACAGAUAGCACUUGCAAAAUAAAAGCUAAGCAAGAUAUACACAUUUGUAUUUUUAUGCCCCACCUACGAUAGUAGAGGGGCAUUAUGUUUUCUGGUCUGUGCCUCCGUUCGUCCAUCUGUCCGUCUGUCUGUGCCUCCGUUCGUCCGUCCGCUUCAGGUUAAAGUUUUUGGUCAAGGUAGUUUUGAAGAAGUUUGAAGUCCAAUCAACUUGAAACUUAGUACACAUGUCCCUAUGAUAUGAUCUUUCUAAUUUUAAUUCCAAAUUGAAGUUUUGACCCCAAUUUCCGGCCACUGAACAUAGAAAAUGAUAGUGCGAGUGGGGCAUUCAUGUACUAUGGACACAUUCUUGUUGUCCAUAUGAUGAGUUAAGCCUUUUUCAACUGAUUUUUAUAGGUCAUUCUUAUGUUGUACUGUUAUACCACUGUCCCAGGUUAGGGGGAGGGUUUGGAUCCUGCUAACAUGUUUAACCGUGCCACAUUAUUUAUGUAUGUGCCUGUCCCAAAUCAGGAGCCUGUAAUUCAGUAGUUGUUGUUGUUUUAUGUGUUACAUAUUUGUUCUUCGUUCAUUUUCUUAUAUAAAUAAGGCCGUUAGUUUUCUUGUUUGAAUUGUUUUACAUUGUCAUAUCGAGUCCUUUUAUAGCUGACUAUGCAGUAUGGGCUUUGCUCAUUGUUGAAGGCUGAACGGUGACCUAUAGUUGUUAAUGUCUGUGUUAUUUUGGUCUCUUGUAGACAGUUGUCUCAUUGGCAAUCAUACCACAUCUUUUUUUAUGCCCCCCUAGAUAGAGAGGAUUAUGUUUCCAGUCGUGCCUCCGUUCGUCCGUCGUCGUGCCUCGUUGUCCGCUGGUUAAAGUUUUUGGUCGAGGUAGUUUUUGAGAAGCUGAAGUCAAUCAACUUGAAACUUAAUACACCUGUUCCCCAGAUAUGAUCUUUUUAAUUUUAAUGCCAAAUUAUAGUUGAACCCAUUUCAUGGUCCACUGACAUAGAAAAUGAUAGGGCAAAGUUCAGGUUAAAGUUUUGUCAAGGUAGUUUUUGAUGAGUUAAGUUAAUCAAUUGAAACUUUAGUCAACAUGUUCCUUGAUAGAUCUUCUAAUUUUAAUUCAAAUUAAAGUUUUGACUCCAAUUUCACAGUCCACUGAACAUAGAAAAUGAUAGUGGGAGUGGGGCAUCCGUGUACUAUGGACACAUUCUUGUUUAUACAUGUAUUAGGCCUGUAGCCAGGAAUUUACUAGGGGUUACAUGGACUCCUGAAGCAAUCAUACUCAAGUCUCAACUUUUAACAUGUACAGUUACAAUUCAAACAGAUUGGCAUACAUGUAUAUCAAAACAAUGUCAAAUAUCAGCACAUAGUAGCACACAGUAUUUAUUCUGAGAAACACAAAUUGGAAUAGAAUAGAAUAUUUUUUGUUGCUUAUCACAGCAGUGCACCCAAAGCUGAGCUGUAUAAUUAACUACAUUAACUUUAUAUUCAAAGAUUAAAAUAAUUACAAUGAUUGUAAAUGUAGAUGAAGAAAAAAAAAACACAAGUAAAACAAUACAAAUAUAAAAUCAACAACAACAAAAUAUAAUAUCAAAUAAUAAAUCAAACUAUUCAAUUAGACUAGCAAUAAAAAACCAGCUGAUACAUUUAAUAAUAUAUGAUCAUGCGAUACUGUACAGUGAAACUGACAAGCAGGACCAAACUGACCUGCCAUUUCUAACUAUACAUGUAUAUAUAUAUAUAUAUAUAUAUCAUUAUAAUACGUACAUGUUGUAAUAAGAGAUAACUAUAAUUUUAUUUGAAAAAAAACAACCUUUGUUUUAAAAAAAAACCCAAUAUAUUGAUUGACUUUGGUACUUGUUGGAAUUUCUGUCUUUUUUUAAAUAAUAAGACAAGAUAUUUAUUUAAAAGUUUAAUAAUCUUGGGAUCCUUAGAUCUGAUAAGUUUGACAACAGCUAGAUAAGAGAAAGCCAGGAAAAACAUUCUAAAGGGAUUGAUUUAUAUGCAGCAAAGAUUGGCUUUUUUAAAAUUAAGUUACUUAACAAAAUCAAACAGACUUUAUCUCAAUGUAAACAUUGAAUGUGAAUAGAUCCAGAAGACAGCAGAUACUUGUACAAAAUUUGAGACGACUUUUUCUUACAAUUGUAUACAAAAUAGAAGAAAGAUAACUACAUUUGUACACUAUAGAAAUAGCCAUGAUAGUUAUUUUAAAUUUUUUAACCUGCACUUUUAAACGUUUAUAUUGACGAAAAGACAAUAGUUCUUUACCAUGUCUACUGUAUGUACAUGAGACAAGAGCAGACCAGUUGGCUCGAUAACUUAGGAGUGUAGAAAAAAAGCAUAGUUUGGGAAAUUGUAACAUGCUUACGAAUUUUUGGAACACUCUAAAAAUUGGUGAUACAAAAGAGUUUCAAUUUUGUAUUCACAUGGUUUUUAUGCCCCACCUACGAUAGCAGAGGGGCAUUAUGUUUUCUGGUCUGUGGGUCCGUUCGUCCGUUUGUUUGUUCGUCCGUCUGUUCGUCGGUCCGUUCGUCCCGCUUCAGGUUAAAGUUUUUGGUCAAGGUAGUUUUUGAUGAAGUUGAAGUCCAAUCCACUUGAAACUUACAUUGUAGUUUACAUGUUCCCUAUGAUAUGAUCUUUAUAAUUUUAAUGCCAAAUUAGAGUUUUUACCCCAAUUUCACAGUCGACUGAACAUAGAAAAUGAUAGUGCCAGUGAGGCAUCUGUGUACUUGGGACACAUUCUUGUUUUCAUUUUUUUUUAAUUAAUAUGCAGCAAAGAUUGACAGUUUUUAAAUUUCAGUUUUACAAGAUUCUAACACAAUUUAACAUCUCGAUAAAUUCUGAACAUAAAACAUUGUGUUUUGCAUGUACAGUAUAUUUCUGUUAUGUAUAUUAUUUUUAUAUUAUUGACUUUUUCGACUCUAUCAUAAGAAGAGUCAGGCGCGUAGCAACCCGUACGCAAAAACGCAGUUGCGUACACAUUGAAAAUUUCACAGAAAUAAAAAUAUGGUUAAUCUAUGUAAGAGCAAAACUGAAAGUGAUAAGUUAAUUUAAAAAAAAAUUUACAAAUAUUGUAAUUGAUCACUUUGCAGCUAUAUUUUCGUUCAAAAACUAUCUCCCUUUUUCAUCACGAAACAGCAUCGUAAUUAUGUUGCUGAUGCAAUAAUUAAAAUGGACUUGCGAGUACUUCCGGUGUCAAAACACAAGUGUUACGUUCUUCUAUGCCGUCCUUACCCUGACAUCUUUUUCUGAAGAUUCCCAAAAUAACUGAUGAAAUAAAAAUAUGACAUUCUAAAAGAUCAUGGACAUCAAUUCAUUCUUAUUGAAUUUUAUCUGUGAGUAUGUAUAAGUCUUAAAUAGUCUACUCCAACUUAAGUUUAACGGGAGUGGUAAAGGGUAAUUUUCGUGCAACUGUAUUCACCUUUUUUUCAUUUGACGUUCAACUUUUUUUCCCAUUUUUUAAAUUCUAGUGCAAGACGGGUGCCUCUUUCGUUCACAAGUUACUGUUCCCAAAUUUAAAUAAAAGUGCGUAUUUUCCAUGCUUUCAGUUUUAAAGUUUUUAUUUUCCGUAAUCCUAAUUUUAAUAAAAAAAAAAACUUUUUUUCGCGAAGUACUGAUCCACCAUCCCAAACCCAACCCUUUACUACCAUUUUUAACCUUUUACUAAAACUAGCAAAUUUUAGAAUUAAUCUUAGAUUUUAUUUAAUAUUGUGAAGAAAAAAAUGAUUUGAUUUUUGUUAUUGCCCUACCUACGAUAAUAGAUUGCUAUUGUGCUUCUGGUCUGUACAUCCGUCUGUCUGUUGGGGUGUCCGUCGUAUGCGGUCUCGAUGGCAACGGCAAACGGUCUUUUAGUACCAUGAGAAGAGUGAAACCUCACUUGAGAAAUACAAUUGAAAACGAAUUGUUUAUCUUGGACUCGGUCUUUGAAACAUAUACCGAGGAAAAAAAUUUAAAGCAGACACGGUUUGGACAUCUUUAGUAGAAAAAAAGAAAGGAAAAUGGGCAUUGAUUUUUCAGAAUUAACUUUGAGAGAGAAAAAAAAGCUGAAAAACACUGCUUGUUCACUCAUAAAUUAAAACAUAAAGAUAUAUGUGAUUCGAAUUUUUAUUUAGUAUUUCCUCAAUAAAAAAAAAUACCAUUUAAGUUGUGACAGUGUUGCUUAGAAAUUAGGUUUGUUUCUAAUGUAAAGUGGGUUCAGCAUGAUUAGGUAACAAAUAAAAUAUACCUAAUCAAGCCAUUUUUACCCUCUACACAUAAGGAAAAAAAAAAAUUGUUAAGCCAACAGUACGGGUUCUUUGUUUUCUCUGAUUAUUUAUUUCAAAGUGACUUUUCCUAAAAGUAAGAUUUAUGUGAGGUCAUUUUAAGUCCUCGGAAAUUGCGAGAAUGCAGGAUUUUGCACCAUUUAUCCCAGAGCUUCUGGGGGCAUAAUCGGACCCCAGACCCCCUGCCGUAUGACUUCCUUCUCCGGCAUUGCGUACAUAUCAAAAUUGCCGAGCUACGCCCCUGAGAGUGAAUUGUCUUGUGUUUCCUUCACUGGAAAUCUCCAUGCAUAUGGGAUUAGUAAUGAGUUACUAUCCCUUUCAAAACAAGAAAGAAAUCUGAAAGGUUUCAACACAGGAAGAAAUUGAAAUAAAAUCAUGAAUCAAAUUUUAAGCUAACAAGUUGUUAUUGUUAGCAUUUGUUUUUUGUAUAGAUAAAUGAAAGUAGGUUUUUGAAACUAAGUAUUGAAGACUUAAUCACUUUGUUUGGCUGCUAGUAUAAAAAGCACAUGUGAAGAUAGUUGGUAAGAUAAAUUGUUACACAGUGUGCUGGUGAUCUAAUAGGAUAUAUAUGGGGUCAGUAAAUUCCAUAAUGGGCGAGAGCUAAGCUCAAAUCCCCAUAUGAAAUUUACUGUUUGGGUCUCACCCCAUAUAGAAUUUACAGCAUCCAUAUAUAUCAUACAUGUAUUAGGUCACUAACACAACACGUAACUAAUAAUAUAUGUACAAAUGUAGGUCCAUUUAUUAUAUGCACGUCUAUAAAGCACAAUGAACAGUUCCAUUAUGCUAUAACCUUUUCACUGUUUUCAGUCAUAUGUUGUUUUUAUUUGUAUGGUUAAAAAAAAUUACACUUUAAAGACCUGAACAUGGACCUGAAAAUAUUAUGGUCCAUACUCCAUUUAUUCAAAUUGCAGUAUAUUUUUCACUUUUCAAUGAAUUACCUUCAAAUUUUGAUUUUGUUACCAGUGGUUACUGUGACUUGACUGUAAGUAUUCCUCUCUAUCUAUUGCCUUUUAUUCAAAAUUCUGACCAAAUUACAAUUUGUUUUCUCACAAUGCUUUAUUGGAGAGCAAUACACACCAUGAUACAUAAGUCAAGUCACAGUUUAUGAUUUUGAAUCUAUUAAGAAAAAAUAUUUUUCUGAUGCCAAAUCAGAAUAUUCAGUUCUAUCAAGUAUUUGUACAGUAUUAUAAAUAAGACAACUAUACAAACCCUUGGUUUUGUGGAUUUGCUUGUAAUAAUCUCUUUUUUUUUCAAAUAGCAUUUGUGAUAAACAAUCACUCUUUCAUAAAGAUGAACAUAUUUUGCUGUUUAAAAAAAAACUGGACAUUGUUGGGCGUUUAUGAAAAGGAACAUAAAUUAGACGUCCUACACAUAUGUUUGGGCUUACAGUGACAACUCGUGGACACUUUUUGAAGAUUAGACACGUUUCUGAGUGUUAUAUUUAUAUUGUAUACAUGUACAUUUGUACAUGUAAUAUUCAUGAAAUUGUAUGAUAUCUAACAAAAACAUAGCUAGAAUGUUAAUGUAAACUUCAAUUAUGUCUUUUUCCUUUCAGGUAUUCAGUCAAAGAAUUUGAAUUAUGUAUGUGGAAUUUGUGAUCUCUCAUUUUGGAAGAAAUCAGAACUAGAAUCCCAUUUAAUUGUACAUAACAAUGGAAGUAAACAUUAUAGGUGUGAGGAGUGUGGGAAAUGUUUUGUACAAAGUGCUACACUGAAAAGACACAUUAGACUUCACACCGGAGAUAGGUUGUUACAGUGUAAGGUGUGUGAUAAAAUAUUCACUGUACCUUAUUAUUUGAAAAAGCAUGAAAAAACUCACCUCAAUGAAAAACCCUACAUUUGUGAUAAAUGUGGGAAAAGUUUUGGCCAUAAGGGCGAUUUGCGGCGACAUGAACGAAUUCAUUCUGGUAUAAAACCACAUAGUUGUGAUAAAUGUGGUAAAUGUUUUCAGCAGCGAAAUUCAUUGAUUAAUCAUAUAAGGACACAUACUGGCGAAAAACCACAUAAGUGUAUGACAUGUGGACAAUGUUUUACAGCUCGCCCAACUUUAGUAAGGCACAUGGCAGUGCACAGCAGUAUCAGAAGUCAUCAGUGUGAUUUAUGUGGAAAGAGUUUUGUCAGAAAAGGUGAUUUAAUUCGCCAUAUUAGAACUCACAGCGGUGAAAAACCAUUCUCAUGUAGUGUCUGUGAUAAAUCAUUCUCACAAAGUCAGGACAUGAAAGUUCAUAUGAGAAUUCACUCUGGUGAGACCCCAUUUUCUUGCUCAGUUUGUAGAAAAAGUUUUUCUUCUCUGAGUUUAGUACAUCGCCACGUAAGAGGUGUUCAUAAUGAAGAAGCAAUAUUUGUAUGUCUUAUUUGUGGAAAGAAAUAUAAGUACAGACAAAGUCUGCUUGUUCACAGUAAAGUACAUUUUCAAGGAAUGUUUUACAAAUGUUUGAUGUGCGGUCUAGAAUUUAAACAUAAAUCUUCAUUAAAAAGACAUGAGCUGAAACACAAAGAUUUACUCUGUUUGACCUGUAAAGUUUGUAAUGAGAAUUUUUGCAGUGAGGAAAACUACUUUUUUCAUCAGAAAUCUCAUAGUGAUCAUGGUGUGACAUUUUAUGAAACACUCAAAGCAGAUGUAUAUGAACAUUUAGAACUGCAAAAUACAUCUAACAAUAAACAAUCAGAUCAUUAAGUGAAAUUAUUAACGUGUAUUGAAACAAAUAAUAUCAAC
rnacentral:lncRNA from 1 species